rnacentral:lncRNA from 1 species
UAUUCCACAUACGGUUAAAACGAGGCCGGCAGAAGUGUGCUUCAUUUCCGAACUUGACCCCUUAACCUGCACCUCAAGCUCAUUUUUAUUGCUACCCACUGAGCCCUGCUCUCCACGCACCGGUUGCACCAGCCCUGCCGACCCGUACGUUCGCGGUCUCCGCUGGGAUGGCUGGAAAGGAAGCGAGAAAGUCACGGAAGAACUUACCUGAAACGAUCCCAUUCGACAGGAACCCCAGCUGGUAAAGGAGGCAGCAGCAGCAGAUGAGUUUCCGAGGCCGAGCAGGCUAGUGCUGGAGCCCCACAAGACAGACCCACAGCCAGCCGAGAGCCGGGAGUGCUGCCUCUGGACAGGCAGAGGACUGCCCGGCGCGGGCAGGAGAGCUGUGGUGUCCGAGCCGAGGCUCGCCGCCUGCACCCGCGCGGAACGGGCGGAGGCUGGUGUCACAGUCUCAGCAACUUGGUGUGCCAAGCUCCGCACACUCCUCACGCUCCUUAGGACGCACCGCUGAAGGCUCUCACCCGCAGCGGCGCGGGAGGGAAUGAGUAGGGAGAUGGGAAGACACGACUAGAGAGUUGCUGAAUGCGUACUAUGAAUAGAAAUACUAUGGAAUUGGAAGAUCAGGAGUUUUCCUGACAUAUAAGAUCUGUGGCAACCUCAACAAUUUACACCGUAUUAACAAAACGUGGUCAUGCCAAGCUGGUCAUCCUGUGAUGAUGUGUACGUCAGUGUGGGAAGCAUGCAGAUUUUUUAAUCUUUUUUAGAGCUCCUUUUGCCCUGCUGCCAAGGGCUACCCAUGGUCAUGUAGGACCUUCAUGGUGUGGUAUAAUCUUUUGCCAGGCUUUACCCAGCCCAGAAGAAUAGAUUUGAAAGUAGUGCAGAGACUGGCUUUCAGACUCCUAUUAUCAGCCUUAUUGGUUUUCAUGUUUUGCCAAAUACAGCCUAAGCAGUGAGAGAUGUAUUGAGUUCCUCACAACAGAACAUGUUGAAACAUAAGCUACACAUUUAAUUGGAAGAAGGCAAUAUAGACAGGAUUCAGCCUUUACUGCUUUGCUUUUAAGCUCAAAUAAUAGUGGUAUUUGGAAAACAUCACAAAGCUCUGCAGUUAUUUUCCAUAGAUGUUGACUUUUUUUUUUCCUAGAAGUGAUUAUAAUAUUGCCAGUUGAUCCUGAGAUUACGCAUGUGUUGAGGAAAUACUAAUCAGAAGUAUGUCAGUCCUUCUUGCUUCACAA